rnacentral:rRNA from 1 species
UACGUAGGGGGCAAGCGUUGUCCGGAUUUAUUGGGCGUAAAGAGCGUGUAGGCGGCUUGGUAGGUCCGCUGUGAAAACUCGAGGCUCAACCUCGAGAUGUCGGCGGAAACCACUUGGCUAGAGUCCGGAAGAGGAGAGUGGAAUUCCCGGUGUAGCGGUGAAAUGCGCAGAUAUCGUGAGGAAGACCGGUGGCGAAGGCGGCCAUCUGGACGACUACUGACGCUGAGACGCGAAAGCGAGGGGAGCAAACAGG